rnacentral:lncRNA from 1 species
AUAUGAGUUGGCCUGACCUAAUCAUAUGAGCUCUUUAAAAACAGAGUGUUAUCUCCAGCUGGCCAAACAUGACGAAAUCAGAGAGGAGUGCGUUUCCUGACCCGGAAGGAAGCAAACAUCCACCUUGUGAACUGCUUGACAGCACCACAUGUCAAGGAACUGUGGGCAGCCUCCAGGAGCUGAAAUCAGUCCCUGCAAGGAAACAAGGACAUCAGUCCUACAACCAUAAGGAACUGAAUUCUGCCAACAAUUGGAACAAGUUUGGAAGAAGACCCUCCCACGUCUCUGCAAAAACGAAGCCAAGAACGGAACCAAGGCCCUGGAAGAAGGAGAGAAGAGUGGUCCUUUGGUCUUCCUGUGCUGUUUGACUUCAGCCUGGUUCAAGUAUCCAACUGAUCUUCAGCAGAAAUAGGCUCAAAGAGAAAAAGAGGGAAAAACUGAGGAAAUCCUUGCCAGAGACCCCUUGCGCUGCUCCAAUAACAAGUGCAGCCACCAGGCGGCCUUCAGCACCUUGGCAGAAAUAGUUCUUAUAGGUGGUUUUCCAUCUCUUGUGGAUUUAUGAACUAGUUCUAUCUACAGUGAAAUGAGAACACCACUCCUUGCUCACUGACGACAACCAUUUAAAUGCCUGGGCAUCAAGGCCUGAUAUCUUACCUUCCUUCCUCCCUCAACCAAAGUGACAUCAGGAAGUUACUUUAAAGCUGAAUUAGCCGCAGCCAGGAGCAAAAGUAGAGGAUCAAAAGAAAAUCUGCAGUAACCACAGGGAAUCAUUGGAGGCUGGGCAUCCCUGGUAAGGAGUUAUGAGGACCCUUUAGGCAGAGAUAUUCUGUUAUUAGGGUCAUCAAGGUAGCUGUGAAGAGAAAUCACAGUAGUGAGACAGGUGACCAUCUGGUUGAAUAAAUAAAAGGAUGUGAUCCUACUUGCUCAUUGAAGAAGUUCCUUUCUUACAGAAAGAGAUAGUGAAUGUCAUCAUCUCUUCUCCCAAUAUUUGUUUCUUUCCUGAAUUUCUGAUUGAGUUCCUUAAUUCUGGUGUGAAAGUAUGAUUUCCUUCUCACCCCAUCACAGAGAAAACAUUUCAGUUACAGCGCUUUGUGGAAGUUUCU